AUUGAACGCUGGCGGAAUGCUUUACACAUGCAAGUCGAGCGGCAGCGCGGGGCAACCUGGCGGCGAGCGGCGAACGGGUGAGUAAUACAUCGGAACGUACCCAGUUGUGGGGGAUAGCCCGGCGAAAGCCGGAUUAAUACCGCAUACGACCUGAGGGUGAAAGUGGGGGAUCGCAAGACCUCACGCAGUUGGAGCGGCCGAUGGCGGAUUAGCUAGUUGGUAGGGUAAAGGCCUACCAAGGCGACGAUCCGUAGCGGGUCUGAGAGGACGACCCGCCACACUGGAACUGAGACACGGUCCAGACGCCGACGGGGGGCAGCAGUGGGGAAUUUUGGACAAUGGGGGCAACCCUGAUCCAGCCAUUCCGCGUGAGUGAAGAAGGCCUUCGGGUUGUAAAGCUCUUUCGGCAGGAACGAAACGGUCUGUGCUAAUACCACGGGCUAAUGACGGUACCUGAAGAAGAAGCACCGGCUAACUACGUGCCAGCCGCCGCCGUAA
rnacentral:rRNA from 1 species